UAAGACUUUGCAGGCUAAAAUUAUGGGUGGGACCUUCAUGAUAUAAUAAUACUUGCAGUUCUGGAAGAUCUUCCAAUUGCAACGACUUCAAACAUGGGAAAAGUUUGUUUUCUUGUCCAUCAGCGAUAAUAGCUUCCAACUGAAAUACCACCUGUACUCCAAUUUCCCUAAUAUGCAAUUCUUCCAAAUUUUUUAAUCCGUGCUUCAACAGUGCUGGAAUCGUGUCACUCAAAUGGGAACAAUUGUCCACAUCUAGAGUAUUUAAGUUCUGAGACAAAUAAAUAAAUAACUUGAUGCAAUUAAAAUCUAUUAGCAGCUAGGAUUAUCACAUGAUAAGUGAUGAACACCGCAAAAAACAAAAACAGAAAACAAAAUCCAUACAAAAAUAUCAUAAUACAUAUGUAAACUAAUAAAAUAAUUAAAAAGUAAUGGAUUUAAAAAAAAAUGAAAUUAGUUAAAAGAGAUCAUGUGAAGUGAUAUAAAUGUGACAUUAGAUUGUUUUAGAAAAAUUAUUAUUCUAUUAAUUUAUAUGGCUUGAUCAACUAUUUUAUUGAAUUUGAAUAAUAUUAUAUACACUUCAGAAGUAUUUGCAUCAAUUCUUUCUAAACCAAAAUGAGAUAUGACUUUCAUUUGAAGAAUGAUUUUAGGCCCUAUAAUAAAGAAAUUUCUCUAAAAUAUCUUAGCAUUAUUAUUAUCACCAUCACAUCCACCACCAUCAUCAUCUCCAUAGGAUCAAAAAAUUAAUGGCUGAUCAUAAAAUUUAUUGCUAAACUAUCAUUUUGAGUAAAAUUGAAUGAAAAGAAAAAACAUGAACCCAAACAAACAUACCUCUUUGAGAUACUGUAAAUUGGCUUCAAGUUCAUUACUGUUGAUGGUCAAGUUGGGACAAUUAUGAAGGUCUAAAUUUUCCAAUGCUGUCCAAAUUGAACAAUAAUUCUCUGAACAGAACUUGGUGAGUUCUGGGAGAUCUUUAAGUUUUAAUUUUCUCAACAAAGGGAGGGCGAGCAUCGUAUUGCCAUCUCCGAAACUUAUUCCCCCUUCAUUGUGAUCAAACUUUGCUUCGACAAUAUAUUCCAGUCUCUUGCAAUAAGUCACAAUGAGACUUUUAAGCUGCUCCAAACUUCUAGCUUGUGACGACGUGAAGAUGUAUGUCAACUUGUUGCACCUAUGCACAUUCAAUUCUGUAAGAGUUUGGAGACUGAUCACAUGUUGGGCGGGCCCCUUCCAUGUCCACUUCAGUUCUGGUAAGUCCCACAUAGAUAACUCUGCUAAUCUUGAGAGACUCUUUCCAUGCGGCGACUUAGAGGCUUCCAUUAUGCAUUCUAAAUCUUCGCAAUCGCGGACAUCAAGACAAGUCAACUCAUUUAAGCCCCUUUCAUCUAUGCUUGGCACAAUAUUGUAACAACCUAUAAUCCCACUUAAAUAAAGAAUUUCCAGUUCUUGAUACAAUGCCGAAAAAAUACCGAGCGAGGUCGCUUCAGGAGGGUGGUUACCAAUCAUUAAGAUCCUUGCCUUAUCAUCAUGUUCCCUUUCAUCAUAAACUCCUUCAACUUUAUAGAUGACGUACCUUUGCAAUUUCGGGAAUGUAAAGUCUUUUGGAAGACAUACAACAGAUCUGUCGGCUUGGGAGUUCAACUCAGCAAGCCUAGCAUUACUUUCUUCUGAACUCAUCCCUUCAACCUCCCAAUCUUUUAUCCGACCAUAAAAUUCUUCCAAUUGAGGAAAUUUUUUUAUCGUAAUGGGAGAAACAGAACCAGUAUCAAUAUAUAGAAGUUUCAAUCUACCAAGUUCAUCCGACAAUUCUUCAGGAAUUUCAAUGGGAGAUGACUGGAGAUAAAGAAGUUCAAGUCUCUUCAACUUUCCAAGAAAAAACGUGUCACUCACAUCACACCGAAUCAACUGCAGAACCUGGAGGUUGGUGAGGCUCUGAAGCGAUUUAAGUGAAAGAACUCCACCUAUUAUAGUGACAACUUUCAAUGCUGGCAUCCCUUUAAAAAAAUGUUCUGGAACUUGCAAUCGGUGGUCGUAUUCAGGAUUCUCCAAUCGCAAAAUAUGAAGGUUAGGGCAUACCAAACCACUAGAAAGCUCUUAUUUUUUAUUUCCCACCAAAGAGAUUCCUCUGUAUUGUUCCAGGCCUUCUUUCAUUGCCCGUUCUGCCAAUCCAAUGCCAAAUUUACUAAAAAAUUUCUUCUCCUCUAGAACUAUUGAGCCUAUCCAUAUGGCUACAUCACGAACCAUGUCAUGCAUUUUCACAGAUCUGUCAUUACCAGUGUCUAACAGCAGUGACGCAGCUUUGAGCGCGUUAAUCGUUCCAUGCAGUCGGCUUCUGGCGUUUUCUAUUGACGGAGCACAUUGAUACCAAAUAACCCCCACUGCGUAUCCAACCAAAUCCUCCAAAUAAAUCUCAUAAUCUUCUGGAAACAGAGAACACAACAAGAAGCAUAACUUGGACUCCUCACUAUUUAAAUUGUCGUAACUGAAUUUAAGACAACCGUAAACGUCUUGGUCAUCCUUGUCAAUACCUUCUAUUGCAUAGAGUUUUGCUUCCUUUAGGUUAUUUAGUGCUAGUUUCCAUUCAUCAGAUCCUUUUUCUCUUAGUGCACUUCCAACAGCUUCAAUAGCUAAAGGCAGCCCCUUAAUUACAUUCGUCGGCAACUUGUUUUGAAACACCAUCCAAGGAGGAGUCGUUUACAUUAAUACCGGCAUUCAUUUUUAGUAGAGUCAAUCCUUCUUCUGGUGUUAUUGUACCAAGUUCAAUCUGUGGGUAACAACCGAAAGAACCACAAAUUGACUUUUUGCGAGUGGUUAGAAGGAUUUUGCAACAAUUGUCUCUAUCACCAAUGGGAAUACCUAAUUUUUUCUCCAAGUCGAGUUGUUUCCAAACAUCACCAAGGAUUAUGAGGAUUUUGCUGCUUUUACUCUCAGAAAACAUCAACCGCAAUCGAUCUGCUCUCUCUUUUUCAUCUGUCUCAUUUAACGCCCAGCCUAACGACUUUACCAGCUCACUUUGAACCUUUAUUAUAUCUGGAUCCUGAGACACAGUGACUAUCCCAACUUCAUCGAAAAUCUUUUGUUGCCGAAGUUGAUUGCCCACAAAAUUUGCCAAGGUCGUCUUCCCUACACCACCGAGACCGUGCAAUCCCACCAUCUUUGUGCUCUCUUUUUUCAGUGCUUCAGUGAUUUGAAUGCAAGCCAAAUCUGUAGCCUUGAAAGGAGAAAAAGAUCUCGGUAUAGGCAAUUCUUUGUCUGAUGGUAGAGGUUUAGGACGGGCAACUGUGCUGAAUUUGCUGCGGUCUUGUAGCAGAUCGGACAACUUGCUAGUCUUCUUUGAUGCUUUUGUACCCAGCCAGUAUCGGCAACCCCAAUUAGGACACCAUCCAUUAAGACAACUCUUCUUUUCAUCUAUCUUUGCUUUUAAAUUUCGAACGUCGGCCAUUUCUUUAUCUACAUCCUCAAGCCAUGUCUCGACAUCUUUCUCGACUACUAUAGCACGGUGUAUUUGUCGUUCUUGUUCUACUCUUUCAUUGAUGCCAUCUUUUUCCUUCUUCAAAUUGGUUUCUUUAACCUUAAGUUCUUUAUCUAUGCUGUUGAAACACAGCAGAUAACGAGCUUGGUUUAUGGUUGCAUCCACCAACAAUUCUCCAAGCCUUGAUGCAACACCUGACAAAAGUUCCAUGCUAUUUAUCUGCAAUUAAUAAAGUUGAUCUCAGUAAGCUAUAAGCAAAACAAUGAGGCUUGAUCACAAGAUCGAACGAGAAAGUUUAAUUACCUUUUUCUAUUCUGUGAAUGCACGUUUAUUGACACUAGCUUUGACCAGUAAGAGCAAAAUGCAAACGCCGAGCUUUAAGUGGCCUUUAGCUGCAAAACAAAAGAGAGGAAAUAAGGUAAUUUAUUAUUAUUAUUAUUUUUAAGGACGGAUAAAGGUUAGCUAGCUUGCAGACAAAUUUACUAAAAUCAAGACAAACCUAAGAGUUUUCCUAAUUUGUUCAAACAUGGAAUAAGCGUUUCACAACAGUAUAUCCAUAAAGGCCCCAGCGAACGUAAUAUGUGCUGGACUAUAUUGAAAUUAGAUUAUUUUAGAAAAUUUUAAAUAAAAAAUAUCAAACAACAAAGAAAUCUAAUAGAAUCUGGAUAAACAGCAUGGGAGAAUAUGGUAAAAUUGAUAAACUUGGUUCAAAAAUUACAAUUCUUUUUGAGAUUUGAACCAACGAUUUUGACUAAGGUCUCCUAAGCCACAAAGCAUAACUCUUACUACUAAAUUACGCGCAUUUUGUUACAUUUAAAUGUGGUCAUAUUCUUUUUAUUAUCUUUUUUUAGAAGGGACUCAUGGUAUACUUAAAAGAAAUAAUAAUGAUUUAGAUAGGGCUGAAGCCCACUCAUGAAAAAAUUCAAAGGUUUUCAAGAUAAUUACCGAUUUUUUUCCACCCAAUAUUCUAAUAGAAUGGUGCCAGAAUUCUCAAAUAAUAUCUUAAUAUUAUUUAACUGGUUGGCACCCACCUAUUGGAUGAUUAAUUUAAUAAUUUGUUACAUUAUUUAAUACUCCAUCUCACUAUCUAGUGAUGUAAAUGGUGGAGAAGGAUCGUCUCCUAGACUUUUUUCUCUCACUAAUCUCUUAGUGAAAUAAGUGGCCGAAAUUGAAUUUUAAUUUUUGAUAUUGACAAUUAAAUUGGCUUGUUUCACAUUAUUAACAAUUAAGCCAAUUUUUUUUUUCUCCUUUUUUCAAUUAGAUUUGGAAGGCUAUAAGAGAGUAGGAGAGAAAAAACACUAGAAGGAGAUCUUAAUCCAUAAAUAGUACCUUAUUUGGGAUGGUAAAGAUUGAGAUAAAUUUCCUCUUAGUCUCUAAAAUUUUGGCCUAUGCGCAGCCAUAAUUUUAGUAUUUUUAAAAAGAAUGGGAUUAUUUACAUUCUAAAAUCUAUUUUGAAUACUCUUUUACUCAACACACUCAUUCAAUAAAUAAAUUUUAAAAAAUAAUUUUUACUUUACACACUAUUUCGAGAGUCAAAACUAUCCUUCAUUAGGACCAUUUCAUUAACUAAUUAUUUUCUAUUGACACCCAUAAAAUAUUCAUCAUUCUUGAACCAUGUGGCGUUAAUUAAUGAUUCCGAAGCAUUAUCAAGAUUCAAGAUUUAUGUUGAAAUUCUUUCAUCUGACAUUUGAACCCAGCCACUAGCUAUAUACAUAUAUACUUUCAAAUGCAGCUCCGGGAAUAUUUUGUGACUGAUUUUAUAAAGUGUUUUAGUUACAUUAAUGCAGUGAAACAAUAAAGAGUACGUGGCUUGCUGAUUUCCAAAUCAAGUUGGGGGAAAAAACAGAGCAUUUUUCUUUUAUAAUGGAUUAGAUUAGACGAUGAAGGAAAAAUUAUUAGCGAUUAUUAGUACUUUUGUGUGUGUUAAGAGUAAUAAUAUUAUUUUAAAUUAUAUUAAUGCCUUUGGUACUGAAUUCAAUUAGGGUUAUUUUAGUAAUAUAAAUUUUCAUUAAAAUUAAAGUGUCCAAAUUAUAAUUUAGAUUUUUCAAAUGUAAAAUAAUAUUUAUUUAUUUGAUAUAAAUUAAAAUUCAAACAAAUGUAUCAUGCAACAAAUGAAAAGUAAAGAAUAUUAAUUAGGUUUUAAUAGAAACAAAUAUAAAUAGAUGUUUUGAGUAGUUAAUUUUUGUUAUUUUAUGCUAUUGGUAGUUUGUGGAUUAAAUAAUUUGUAUAAGGAUAAAUGGGGGUUUGUAUAAUUUAUACGAAGAUAAUCUCCAAAAUAAGCUUAUAUGUCGAAUUUAAAAGUGUUAUAUAAGUAGUAAUCGUAUAUGCAUCAAAAUUUUUAAUAAAAUUUAUUUAGAAAUUGGCCAAUUGAGUUUUAUGAAGAAAAUAGACGGGCAAGUAAUUUGUAGGUUGUGGUACUUCUCCAUACUUCAAAUCACUUUUAUCUAAUCAAUUGAUAAAUAUUUUUGGGCUCCAACAAAAUGAAAAGAAAAAGUUAAAAAUAAUUCUGAAAUUAAAAACGUUAGGUACUGCCUAUAAGCUAUACAAUUUUACCUUUCCUUCUAUCACAAUUAGUAUUAGAAAUAAAAAUAGUUUCGAAAUAAAUGUAAUUAGGAGGUAAUAUUAUCUCAACAAUACCUUAUAGGGAAAAAAACAUCUAUAUCCUAAAGUUUGGAGAAAUGGUCGUAAAGACCCCAGGUUUUCAGAAAGGGAUAUCAAGACCCUUUUUUGACCGUAAUACCCUUUAAAUCUAGUAAUUAAAAAAUUGACUUUAAGAUUUUUUAAUUGACAAAUUUAAUAUAAAUAAUAUAAUCUAUCUAGUAGAUUAAUAAUAUUAACAAUAAAAAUAAUAUUAAAAUUUAAAUUCUUAUAUUUAUUCUAAUAAUAUUUUUUUAUUUAUUAUAAAGAUUUUAAAUAAAUCCUUGGGUUAAAUAGGUUUUCCAGUUAACAAAAUAUACCCCUAUUAAAAAUAUUGAAAUUACUUUCUACAUAAUAUUUAAAAUAAUUACAAUUUAUUUAUUUUAAUAUUAUGUUUCUAUUUAUUAUUAAAAAUUACUUUAUUAGAGCAAAUUUUUAUUAAUUAAAGCUUUAAAAUUAAUUUUCUAAUUACUAAAUUAAAAGGGUAUUAUGGUCAAAAUGGGUCUUUCAUUUUUGAAAACUUAGGGUUUUUGCGACCAUCUCCCCAAACUUUGGAGUAUAGGUGUCCUUUUCCCGACUUCAUAUAAAGAUAUUCCAGAAGGUCUUAUAAUAACUUAUGUUAUAUGAAUUUAAUUAAAAUAUCAUUAAUACUUAAAUAAUAAUAAUUAUAGAAGACAUUGUAAUAAAUUAUUUGAUAUAUAUUAUUAAUGAUACUAUAUAUAUGUGUAUAUAACUACAUGAUGGCUUGGAUAUAUAUUGUUUAGUGGUAAUAAAUUUUUUUAAAAAAAUUUAAACUAAUGAUUUCAUGCGAUUCAAUGUUGGAUGAUUUAAAAUCAUAAAAUAUUGUUUUGACUUUCAAUAUCAACCGUUAGACUGUGAGAAAUUAAUUGCUCAAUAUUUUGUGUUAAAAUUUUAAAUUAAAAUAUCCCAAACCAUUUGUUUUACUUAAAAUACAAAAAAUAUAUAAAGAAAUUUUCUCAUUAAUUUUCAUAUUUUUAUUAGAGGUAAUAUUUUAUGUAUCGUCACCAUUAAUUGCCGUCAUUAAAGUAGUGACUCUUACUAAUAUAAAAUUUUAUAAUUAGUUAAUUGCAAUCAAAUGAUAUCAAUAAAAUAAUAUUUCAUGAUUCAUAAAUUAAAUCUAAUUAAGAAUAUAUGUUAGUUUUAACUUUUAUGAAAUCAACUAAGUGAUAUUACAAAAUAAAAUGAAAAUAAACUAGUGAAAUGAUGUGCUCAUAAUUUAUCUAUUAUUUUAAUGCUUCCAUAACUUAAUUUUAUGUUAAAUUAUAUUUUAUUAUAUUAAUUUUUAUCUUAAUUUUUAUAUUUUGUCAUUGUAGGAAUAAUGGGAAUAUUCAUGAGAAAAGAAGCUUAAAGAGGAAACAAAUUAGAGUAUAAUGAAAAUAAUGUGGAAGCAAAAGGGAAAGAAAUAAAAAGCCAAAUCAAGGCUGAUUGAAUUUAAUCAUCAUGCAUGCAACACGUGGGGGGAGCAUUAAAGAAUUAAUUUGCAAAUUGGCCAAUUAAACUUUACAAGUCACGUGGAUGGGCUUAAAAGGUGGCUAGAAUUGUUUUGUUUUAAAAAUCCCUUUCAUUUAAGGAUUCGUGGGCUGGAUUUGCAAUCCUUUUCCUUUAAGGAUUUGGAAGAAACCACAACAUUAUAAAAGAGAAGAAAGGCAGCCGCACAAGAGGGAUGGAAGCCAAGAGAAAAGAAAUAAUUGAGCAGCAACCGGAAGUCUUGAACGAAAACCGAAGAGCAGCAGCAAUAAUUUAGAGCAGAAGGAAGACACGUUAAUUCUUGAGUUUUUCUCUCUCUCUUCUCUAUUAUCUUGCUUGAAUGUUUCCAAUUAAAUUAAUGAAUUCUCUUUAUAUUCCCAUGAACUAAUUUAUUUACUAGGGCUACGAUGUAGCCUAAUUAUGAAGAUUUAAUUCCAUAAAUCUAUGUUAUUUUUUAAUUAAUUAUUCCAUGAUUGAGUGUUCAUUAUUGUGCUUAAUGCUUUUAAAUAUCUGGCCAAUAUUUGAAUGAUUCGAGGAUACAUAAUGAGACCGAGAUGAGAUUUAUGUAUUUUUGCUCUGUGUAAUGGAUGCCAUGAAUUGAACGAAAGACAUAGAUGUGCCAACGUGAUUCAUGCAGUUUUAUCUAAGAAUUUCCAUAGAACUUAAUGAAUCUUUGCAUAUUUAAAUUCACAUAGAGAUAUAGUGGGUUGAUAUGUGGAGAUAUUUUUGAUAUUACUCGAGAGAGGAUAUUGAAUAAAUUAGGGAAAUUCACUGUCAACAUGGGUAAUAAACUUUAAUAGCAUAGAUAGAGGAUUAAAUUGGAUUGGUUAUGGUGAAAUCGGAUGUCCUAGUGUUUUAAUCUCUUGGUGAUUUCUAUUACUGCCUGCGUCUUCAUUUAAUUUUUAAUUAUUUUAUUUUAUUUAACUUUAAUCUAAAUUCGCCUAAUCGAUUGUUCAAAUAAAGCAGGGUUAGAAUAAUUUCGGUAACUAAUAGGAUAUACAAUCUCUGUGGGACGAUACUCUACUCUUCAUUAUAUUACUUGUGCCGACUAGUACACUUGCUAAUUUACGCAACAAGUUUUUGAUAUAAAAUUUACACUUGCUAAAGUAGUGACUCUUACUGAUAUAAAAUUUUAUAAUUAGUUAAUUGCAAUCAAAUGAUAUCAAUAAAAUAAUAUUUCAUGAUUCAUAAAUUAAAUCUAAUUAAGAAUAUAUGUUAGUUUUAACUUUUAUGAAAUCAACUAAGUGAUAUUAGAAAAUAAAAUGAAAAUAAACUAGUGAAACUUAAAUUUUAUAAGGUUUGAAUAAUUUUCUACCACGUAAGAAUAUUAAUUGUGACAUAAACCAUAGUUUCAUGGUAUAUGUAUGCCAAAUGGGGUAACAAAUAAUAUAUACUUCAUGAUCAUGAUAGUAUAUAAAGUAGUGGAUAUUUUAAUAAAUAACAUAAAAUUCUUUAAGACAUAGGUGGUCAAUUAUAUAUUUUUUAGGAUAUAGACAAUCUCAAUCAAGAGUUUAUUGAUGUGAAUAGAUGGCAUUCACUUAAAUGUAUAUACUUAAUUGUGUUGUUUAUUGGUAUUACAUGUAACAAAAUUUUAUAUUAAAUUUUGAAGUUUUAUACUGUUGUUUCUAUUGAAUUUAUAAAUACAAUAAAAUUAUGGCCAUCAACAAUCACAACCAACUGCCACCAACAAUUACAUUCUCAUAUCUGUUGACGACAAUUUUUUAUACUAUUGGAACUCCAAUCUUUGAUGCUACACAAUAGUUAAAGUACCGACAUCAAUAGAACUUCCGUUCAUUGUAGAUCUAUAGUCAAAGUUUCGAAUCUUAAAAAAUUGACAGCAGAUUUAUGUCAAAUGAAAGCUUGUUACCAGUGAUUCUUAUACAAUUAUGUUGUUAUAGUAAUAAAGAUUCUAAUGGUACUAAAAUGCACUCCAUUAGACAUAAAGAUCCGACGACUAGUGGCGACAAUAACUAUCAUUAGUGACUUGGAGGUAAUUGCCGUUAAUAAAUUAUUUUUAACUUAAUAAUUAAUACAAACAAAUAAAAAAGUAAUUUAAGGAAAAUUAAUGUAAUAAAUAAUUGAAUUAAAAAAAUUAAAACCUAAAUUCUCGACCAUUUAUCCGUAUCUUUGGAAUCCAACGUUCAAAAUUGGAAUAAAACAUAGUAUAGCCAUUGGAAGUAAAACAAACAUUAAAGAGACUAGGAAAAAAUAUCUCAUACCUUCUAUAAUGAUACAUCCUCAAUCACUGCAGAAAGCUCCAAUUAAAAAGUCGCACAAGUUCGGAGAAAAUUACCAACUGUACCUAACAACACAAAUAAACAUCAAAUCAAAGCAACAUAGGAUCCAGCUAAUUAACAUCAUAAGUAAGUCCUUGUUCUCAGUCAAAUCUUUCGUUCUUAGGAAAAAAAAAAAAAUUGAAAGAAUAACGGUAACUGGAAAGUUUGACGACAUAAAGAUCUAGCUAAAUUUUAAGAAGCAAAAGUAAAUAAUGAAAGCUCAAUAAAAGAUCAUCAGCAUUAACAUACCGAAAUGAGAGCAGCUCACAGAACUGGUAAUUUCCAAGAACAGGAAAAAUAAGUGAGCUGAUAUUGAGGACAACUAAAGUAGUCAUGGAGUAAUUUGCUAUUGAGGACACCUAAAAUAAGAAAAUUAAUUAACAUUGCUCUAUACACCAUUUCAAUAAUUUGACUAUUAAAAAAAAAAUCUAUCUAGAUCACGAUUUCUCAAAAUGAUACUUUUUCUAAUUAAAUAAAUCAAAAUGCUUGCUUCUUUCUUUUUCAGAAAAGAAAAAGUGGCAAUGGCAUCAAUUUUUUUGCUAGAUUAUUAUCACCAAAAGCACAAGCAAGGAAUAAGAAUACUCUCUGAAACCAACCAUGUAAAGAGUAGAAGUAAGUGGUCAAUUGUAAAUUAGUCUUUCUUUUUUCUUUGUUAUUUUUUUCAUUUUUUGAAUGUGAACUAAAUAAAUUUAAGGGUGAAGCUAUUACACCUUGAAAACUAUAACUGAACACCCAUUUUUUUAAUUAAAUUUUUAUUACUAAAAUAACCAUGGAGUAAUUUGCUACUAAGGAAAACUAGAAUAAUAAAAUGAAUAAUGAUUGCUCUAUACACCCUUUUCUAAGUCUAUCUUCUUCUUAAUUUCAUAAUUUGGCUGUCAAAAAGUAAUCUAUCUAGAUCACGAUUUCUCAAAUGAUGCUUUUUCUAUCUAAAUAAAUGAAAAUGCUUGUUUCUUUCUUUCUCGAAAAGAAAAAGUGGCAAUGGCAUCAAUUUUUGCUUGCAAGCACAGCGAGGAAUCAGUAUACUCUCGGAAACUAACCAUAUUAAGAGUAGAAAUAUUUAUUUGGUUAUCACGAAGUAAGUUAGAAAUCAAUUAUAAAUGGUCUUUUUUUAUUUUUUAAUGUGAACUAUAUAAAUUUAAGGUGAGGUUAUUUACACUUUGAAAAACAUUCUGAAAACCAUUAUUUCAUUAAAUUUUUUAUUAUUAAAGGUCCGUUUGGGGCAGCUACGUUGAAGCAGCGCAGCUGCCCCAAACGCUCUCUAAAAUAGCCAUGGAGUAAUUUCUUACUGAGGAAAACUAGAAUAAUAAAAUCAAUUAUCAUUCUUCCAUGAACCCGUUUCUAGAUGUAUCUUCUUCUUGAUUUGGUAACUUGGCUGUCAAAAAGAAAUCUAUCUAGAUCACGAUUCCUCAAAAUGAUGCUUUUUCGGAUGAAAUAAAUGAAAUUGAACCUACAAUCUGUCACAAACACGUUAUAAUGAGCCUAAUGAAAAGCAGUAUGAGAAAUUUUGCUUCCAUGUUGUUUCUUCCAUAUGUAAAGGUAGUAAAAAGAAAUUUAAGUCCUAGAAACAAAUGGAUGAAGAAUUAUCAAUAAUUAAAAUUAAAAAAAGAAACAGAGUUAUAAAAGAAUCACAGUUCCACCAAAAAUUAAGAGUUAUUUUAUUUGGUGGUUUCCUAUCCCGAAAGCAUUACUUGUAAAUAUGUGCUAACAAGUAAUAAUUAAGAAAGUUAAGGCCAAUCAUUUAGAAGGGAGAAAAAUGGAAACAUCCGGAAUAUUGUUAUGUGUUUUCAGUGCGUAUCUACCAAUCAAUAAUGAAAAAUUAAAUACGCAUGUGACGAAAAUUUAAUAAAGAGAACUGGAGGUGACAAAAUUUUUAUUAUUCUAUCUUUCUCUCCUCUGAAACUUCCUUAAUUUGGUUGGGAAGUGCUUUGUCUUAGGCAGUGGAUCUGUUAUAAAUACCCUAUGCUAAAGUUAAUAUUUUGAUUGAAGAAAAAAAUAGAGGAGAAAAAUUUUAUUAAAGUAUAACAUAAUUUGAUAAAUUUAGAAUUGAGGAGAGAAAAUGAGUCUAAAUUCGAAAAUUUUGGCACUAUUUACAUAUAAUUAUUUGGGCAAAAAUUCAUUUCUCUGCUUUCAUAUGAUUUGGUCUUUCAUUGUUACGGUGCCAAUUUUUUAUUUAAAGAUGUAAGAUAGUGGUACUAUAGCUUAGAUUUUCCGUAAAUACUACAUGGUAAGUACAAAAUAAAAUACUAGUUUAAAAUAUAAAAAUGAAAAACUAUUUUUAUAACCAAUAUUCAAUUAAAUACACUUGAAACUCUAUUUUUUCUUAAUAAAAAAAUUCUAAUUUAUUUUCUCAAUUUAUCUAAACAACUUUACCUAAUCAAGCUAAAUCUACAUAUUACCCUAAACCUUAAUUCAUAAACACCCAAUCAAUCCAAUUGUUAAAUCCGAUUUCAUAAUUAAAAAAGCUAAAUUCUAUUUUAUUAUUUAUGGUGCAAAGUAAAAAAUGCCCUUGAAGUUAAGGGUAAAAUUGAUAUUUUAUUUAAAUUUUGUUAAUAUUCUAAUAAUGUUAAUGUCUUAGUGGUUAAUAAAAUCACAAAGUCAAACUUUUGUAGUAUUUUUUAUAAUAAGUUAAAGAUAUAUGUUUGAUAAUUUUCCUACGUCUUUUUACGUUAAAUUGAGUCUCAAGAGAAAAAUGAUUAAUUUGCUACAAUUCUGUCAGUUUUCUGAUGGAAGAUAAUGAUACAAUGAAUAAAUAAUACAAAUUAUUAAAUUAAUGUUGAUGAAUGAUACAACUUGAAAAUAUUGUAGUAUUCUUAAUAGUAGAGAAAUGUAAAGGUGGAUGGUUGAUAAUUUAAUGAAGUAACUACAGAAUUUUCCUUUCAAAUAUUUUUUUAAAAUAUAUAAUGAGUAAAAAUCAUUUUACAGAAUGAUCAUACGCAUUUUGUAUCACAAACGAAAACAUGAACCAACUAUGUAUAGAGUCAAUUAACUAAAGUUCUCAAGAGUUGACCUGUGCUCCUGAAUUCUUGGAAUCAUAUAUCUCCUUCUGAAUUUCCACGAAGCCUGGGACAAUUAUUAACAUAUACAAACUUGGCAGAUGGAAAUGGGAUCUGAUAACCCGUAGGCCAAAAGUUGGUGAGGUUUGGUAAAUCUGACAGUAUCAACUCCCCAAGUUCAUUCAUAACAAUUUCAUUGUACUCCGUGACGUCUGCUCCAUCUUUAUGCCAGAAUACUUCUUCUAAUUCAUCAUUACCUAUUAUCCAUAUGUACUUCAGUUUUUGAAGACUUGGAGCUACGCUGAUAUGAAAUAGAUGCUUUAGUUUGGGGCAAUAACCGACAGAGAUCCUUUUGAGUUUUGGGAAACAUACAGGUUGGAGAUGAUCCUCAUCCUCAUCCUCAUCAAUGAUUUGCUCUAAUUCGAAGCAAUUCCAAACAUAUAACGCCUCCAAUUGUAACAGAUUUCGAGCAAAUGUUGAUGAGAAGAGACGUCUCAGCAUAGUGCACCCGUCCACUGUUAAAUAGGUAAGACUUUGCAGGCCAAAAUUAUGCGUGGGACCUACGUGAUAUAAUACUUGCAGUUCUCGAAGGCUUUCCAACUGCACCUCCUUCAAACAUGGGAAUAGUUUGUUUUCUUGUCCCUCAGCGAUAAUAGCUUCCAAUUGAAAUACCACAUGUACUCCCAGUCGUCUAAUACCCAAUUCUUCCAAAUUUUUUAAGCCGUGCUUCAACAGUGCUGGA
rnacentral:lncRNA from 1 species